UCCGACUGGGUUGUGGCAAAUCUGUUCAAUAGUCCCAUUAUCCGGAAUUUUGGACUACAAUCGGGUUCUCAUGGUUUUUGGUGAUCAUUAAGAUAGACAGCUGCAGAUCGAAAAUAAAAUUGGUCGCAGUAUUUAAAUAAGGGCUGUUUCCUACCUAUUGUUACAAGAUCGCUUAAAUAGCAGUGACUAUCAAGUGUACUUUACUUUGCAAAGCAAGGAAAACAAGAUGAACAAGCUACUACUCGUCGCUUUUUUGCUCGGCAUGCUCAUGAUGGUGCAAGACUCUGAGGCCUGGUGGGGCCGGAGACGUAGAUAUUACUUAAGACGUAGACAUUACGGAGAUGAGAACAGGGAAAUGGAGCGAAAAGAAGAUUCUAACGAGAACGUUGAUGAUUUAAAAGAUUUGGAAAAUCUGCCUGAGCAGUAACUGAAAUGCUUAACAAAAUGACAGAUAUGGAAACCAGAAAGAUUGAAUAACUCUGCCAUUCGUUCAACUAUUCCAAUAAAUAAAACAACAAAACUA